GACGAACGCUGGCGGCGUGCUUAACACAUGCAAGUCGAACGGAAAGGCCCUGCUUUUGUGGGGUGCUCGAGUGGCGAACGGGUGAGUAACACGUGAGUAACCUGCCCUUGACUUUGGGAUAACUUCAGGAAACUGGGGCUAAUACCGGAUAGGAGCUCCUGCUGCAUGGUGGGGGUUGGAAAGUUUCGGCGGUUGGGGAUGGACUCGCGGCUUAUCAGCUUGUUGGUGGGGUAGUGGCUUACCAAGGCUUUGACGGGUAGCCGGCCUGAGAGGGUGACCGGCAACAUUGGGACUGAGAUACGGCCCAGACUCCUACGGGAGGCAGCAGUGGGGAAUAUUGCACAAGGGGCGGAAGCCUGAUGCAGCAACGCCGCGUGCGGGAUGACGGCCUUCGGGUUGUAAACCGCUUUCGCCUGUGACGAAGCGUGAGUGACGGUAAUGGGUAAAGAAGCACCGGCUAACUACGUG
rnacentral:rRNA from 1 species